rnacentral:rRNA from 1 species
CAAUAGCGUAUAUUAAAGUUGUUGCAGUUAAAAAGCUCGUAGUUGGAUUUGUGGCGUACGGUGUGUUCCGGGCACUUGUUGUCUGAGUAACCUGCUGUUGCCAUCCUUGGGUGGAACCUGUGUGGCAUUAGGUUGUCGUGCAGGGGAUGCCCAUCAUUUACUGUGAAAAAAUUAGAGUGUUCAAAGCAGGCUUAUGCCGUUGAAUAUAUUAGCAUGGAAUAAUGAGAUAGGACUUUUUUGCUAUUUUGUUGGUUUGCGCGAAGAGGUAAUGAUUAAUAGGGACAGUUGGGGGUAUUCGUAUUCCAUUGUCAGAGGUGAGAUUCUUGGAUUUUUGGAAGACGAACUACUGCGAAAGCAUUUACCAAGGAUGUUUUCAUUAA